rnacentral:rRNA from 1 species
AACAUUCUGGAAAGUAUAGCCAUAGAGGGUGAUAGUCCCGUAUGCGAAAAACAAACCUUAGCUAGCAGUAUCCUGAGUAGGGCGGGACACGAGAAAUCCUGUCUGAAGCUGGGUCGACCACGAUCCAACCCUAAAUACUAAUACCAGAUCGAUAGUGCACAAGUACCGUGAGGGAAAGGUGAAAAGAACUGAGGUGAUCAGAGUGAAAUAGAACCUGAAACCAUUUGCUUACAAUCAUUCAGAGCCCUAUGUAGCAAUACAGGGUGAUGGACUGCCUUUUGCAUAAUGAGCCUGCGAGUUGUGGUGUCUGGCAAGGUUAAGCAAACGCGAAGCCGUAGCGAAAGCGAGUCUGAAUAGGGCGCUUAGUCAGAUGCUGCAGACCCGAAACGAAGUGAUCUAUCCAUGAGCAAGUUGAAGCUAGUGUAAGAACUAGUGGAGGACUGAACCCAUAGGCGUUGAAAAGCCCCGGGAUGACUUGUGGAUAGGGGUGAAAGGCCAAUCAAACUUCGUGAUAGCUGGUUCUCUCCGAAAUAUAUUUAGGUAUAGCGUUGUGUCGUAAUAUAAGGGGGUAGAGCACUGAAUGGGCUAGGGCAUACACCAAUGUACCAAACCCUAUCAAACUCCGAAUACCUUAUAUGUAAUCACAGCAGUCAGGCGGCGAGUGAUAAAAUCCGUCGUCAAGAGGGAAACAACCCAGACUACCAGCUAAGGUCCCUAAAUCUUACUUAAGUGGAAAACGAUGUGAAGUUACUUAAACAACCAGGAGGUUGGCUUAGAAGCAGCCAUCCUUUAAAGAAAGCGUAAUAGCUCACUGGUCUAGUGAUUUUGCGCGGAAAAUAUAACGGGGCUAAAGUAAGUACCGAAGCUGUAGA